rnacentral:lncRNA from 10 species
ACCGGGUGUCCAGUGUGGCAUUUCAGGAGCUUGGAGAAAGAGGAUAGAGAAGGUGAGAGCUGGGGGAAAAUUGAGAGGUGGCCAGAAAGAGAGGCUUUGGUCAUUUCCAGAGUCAUGGAGUUGCAGAGAACUAGCUUUAGGCAUUGCAUGUAAUUUAAUGUUCUUCAAUGUCCUGUAGCCUAAGACCACCUGGAACACACCUGUAGUCAACAAAGUUAGGCUGAUUAACGCCACAGCAAGGGAAACUGCACGCUGUGGGGAAGCUUGAGGCAUCUCAAAAGGGUGGAUUAAGACAAGGGCACCCAAUAAAGCUUUGGGGGCUGGAGUUAGUCACAGGAUGGUGUUGGCAGGAUUUCAUCAGAUUCUGUAAACUGGGGAGUUUCUGGAAAAGUAAGUGGUCUUAUCUUUGGGAUUCACAAGUCUGUGUGGAGUUACUGACAGGUCAAUUUCUCUAUGGUCUUAUCUGGGAACAAAUGGGCCUGAAAGAGCUGGUGUUUCAAGGUUUGAACUUAGAUCGUCUGUGAUGCCCACCACGGUGUGGUCGGGAGAAAUUGGCCUGCUUCGAAACUGAGGCUUAUGUUUUGAAAAUUGUGGUUUCUGUUUUCAUUCUCGGUCCCUGUCAUCUCUCUGCCAACAUGAACCCCAGUCUGCCAGUCUACCUUUUUCAUUUACUCACUAUUUUUCUAUCCCAUCGUUAUGGUUAUUCUACUGACAUGCUACAUGUAACAUAAAGAGCCCUACAGCUGCAUAACCUCCUGAGAGAGGGCUUCUUUAGUUUGCAAUGGAGAACUGGAGAUGGUGCUCAUUCACAGAUAUCUAACACUCGGUAAGUCAUCUUGUUUGACCACUCCCUCCUCACAGGUCUGUGCCUUAACUGUGCAUGUGAAAUAUUAUAUAUCUUAGAUUUAAGAAACAAUUUGGCUCAACAAAUGACAGUAUCAGGGAGCUAUUAUGAGUUCUAAGAACUACUGUCCUCCUGCUAUAGGUCCAGACAAGACUUUAGCAUGGCAGGCUGCCUCCUAGGGCUGGGUAGUCAAGAAGGGCUGAUAGUGGGUGAGCUAGUCAAGAAGCGCAGCAAAAUGAUGGUGAAAUACCACUUCAUACUUACUAGGAUGGCUACUAUUAAAAAAGAACACACACACAGAAAAUAACAGAUGUGGGCAAGCAUGUGGAGAGAUUGGAACCCUUGGACACUGUUGGUGGGAAUGUAAAAUGGUGCAGCUAUAAUGGAAAACAAUACGGUGGAACUUCUAAAAAAUAAAAAUAGAAUUACCAUAUGAUCCAGUAAUUCCACUCUGGGAUAUACCAGAAUUGAAAGAAUUGAAAGGAAGAUCUUGAAGAGAUAUUUAUAUAACGAUGUUCAUUGCAGCAUUAUUUACCUUAGCCAAAAGGUACAAGCAAAUCAAGUGUUCAUUGAUGCACGAAUAAAAAAGCAAAAUGUGGCAUAUCCAUACAAUGGAAUAUAAUUCAGCUAUAAGAAGGAAUAAAAUGCUGACAUCUGUUAUAACAUGGCUGGACCUUGAUGACAUUAUGCCAAGUGAAAGUAGCCAGACAUAAAAGACUACAUCGUGUAUGAUUCCACUAACAUGAAGUACUUACAGCAUUCAAAUUCAUAAGGACACAAAGUAGAAUGGUGGUUUCCAGGGGCUUGGGGGCAAAGGGGAACAGAGAGUUAUUGCUUAAUGGUUAUACAGAGUUUGGGGAAGAUGAAAAUGUUUUAGAGAUAUGUUGGUUAUGGUUGCACAACAAUGUGAGUGUACUUAAUGCCACUAAACUCUACAUUUAAAAUGGCUGAAAUGUUACAUUUUCUGUUACAUAUAUUUCAUCAUAAUUGGAACAAUGUUUUUAAAGCUAAAAAAAAAAAAAGUCUAGCAGGAGAAGAACCCACAGGUAGCACAAACCCAAGUCCUUGGAGGAGGCUAGACACUGUGACUAAGCAAAUCACAUUCAUAUACCAGAUCAAGGGGCAGGGAAUGGGGCCCAACACUGAGGUCAGGAGCUGGUUGGUGUUAGAACAGAUGAUUCAAGGGAUUCGCUAAAGGAUUCUCUUUGUUGCCUGACUUUAGUGCAUUGCAGGGGUGAGUCAGACUCCAGGAUGCAAAAUCAGAGCAGAUAAGGGUUUUCCUUCUUCUUUUUCUCCCUCUCUUCAAGAAUAUUCAGUGGAGAUUUUAAACAGCCUAGAAUUCUCUAGUAAAGUGGUUUGGGGAAUAGAAUUAUAGACUUCAUCCUCUAAGCCCAUUGAAUUCUUCCCCAUCAUAAGCAGAGCCAGAUACAAGUGAGCACAUAACUUCUCAUGUUAGUGAGAAGCUAUUGAUUAUGGCUGGGACAUACGGCAAAACCAACAUUUCUCUCUCUAAUGCUAGUGUUGGGAGCUUUCAAAUCUAGAAGGACCAGCUGUGGUAUAUAGACAUCAGAAGAGGGGUGGUUAAGGUAGGGAGCCCCUAGAGCAAGUAAAAGUUAUAAAUCUAGGCAGGCAGUCAGAGUCAGGGGUGUUCCCAGGAGAGUUAUUAGAUCUCCAGCAAGGAAACACAGAUCAUGGGUCCAAGGAAGAGCCAGAGGGAGUGGAGUUUUAAAGAAGCCAGACUUUCGGUGCUGGUGUGUUUCAUGCUCUGUAUCUUUUCUCUCCUGUACCUCAUCUUGGUUCUUUGAAGGCUUUCUGGGUUUAAGGGAAUGUCUCCAGUUUGGGGAAAUGCUGGGUCCACUUUCUGCACUCUUUCUUGGGAGAGAAGAAAGAAAAACAACCCAAUAAAGAGAGAAUGACCUAAGAGAUAUCUCAAAAGACCAGGGACCAAAAGCGGAGAUUCCCAAAAAAACAUUCUGAGAAAGCAGAAAUAGUCAACGCUUUGCCCUUCCAUGGGAAGUUCCACUCUCUGAACGUGUUGGUCACUGGUUUGCUUUCUUCUCAGGGGUGACACAAGGCAUGCAGAAACCCUCGAGGUCCCCUGGAGGGCAGAGUAAACCAUCAACAACAGGUAGUCAGAGCCCAGCCUUAUGGUCUGGAAUUAAGCAUCUAGAAGGAUAGGGAUGACAGGGGGAGGGCAAGAACAGUUAGGACCUCGCUUCUGGAGUAGCUAGAAAAACAUGGAGAGAUGGAAACAAACCAAGGACUGGGACAUGAGGGAAGACAAGCUAGAAGCCCACUUGCCGGGACCAAUUUAUCACAUUAAUAUGGACUAGCCAAGAGGCUGACAAUGCUGUGUCCUUUUGGAGCAAUUAAAGAAAUUCCUGACUGACUCUAACUCAGGAGCAUCUGAAAAUGACCUGGAACCGGAAGACAGUAAAGGUCAUAAAUGAUGUACCUUUUACAUCUGGCAGAGGGCCAGGACAGUUCUGGGGUUCAUAUUUCUCUCCUUCUCUACUCUGAGGUUUAUACGGCCCCCCCACCGCCCCCAAGAUCACCUUGAUGGGACAAUUUGGCCUAUCCAGGCAGGAUCAACAAGAGGAAUUCAAGGAGAAAGCAAAUUGUUUUGCAAAUAGAGUAAGAUAUGUUUUGCAUUUCCAAAGGCAAUGCAAGAAGGAAGGACAAACGGAGGUGGGAACAGGCUCAAUCCAAGACGAGGCCUGAAGCAUGACUCAGCACUUAAUUACAUUCCCAGAGGAAAAUCCACCUCACAAGCAUGACUGGUGAUUUCAGUGGAAGAGUCAGAAGAAGCUUUUACAUCUCGCACAGUCCUCAUCAAUUCCUUCCUGAUCUGUCCUUUCAUCUCAGUCCCCACUCAGAGGCUCUGCCUGCUGGAGAGAGGAGUGGGAGAAAUGUCCUUCUUCAAAGCCAGCUUCACAGGCCCAUAGCCGUUGAGGUUGCAUAGGGCCCCAAGCUGAAAGAGCCCCAUUUAAGAUUUAAUGCUGUGCUCAUGCCCUCUUAAAAUUAUUGCUGAACUCUGCUCUGUAAGUGAAGUCCAUGGGGCAGCAGCACAUGCGCAGGAGCAUGGAGGAGGCGUAAUAUGCAUGUCAGCUGCUCUUUGCUGCCCAUUCCCAUAGAACAUUUGCAAUGCCCCAGCAGCAGAGGAUGGAUGCUGGCGGUGAGAGGUGAAGCCGGCUGGGCUUCUGGGUGGGGUGGGGACUUGGAGAACUUUUCUGUCUAGCUAAACGAUUGUAAACGCACCAAUCAGCACUCUGUGUCUAGCUAAAGGUUUGUUACAGACCAAUCGGUCUGUAAAACAGACCAAUCAGCUCUCUGUAAAAUGGACCAAUCAGCAGGAUGUGGGUGGGUCCAGAUAAGGGAAUAAAAGCAGGCCACCCAAGCCAGCAGCGGCAACCCGCUUGGGUCCCCUUCCACGCCGUGGAAGCUUUGUUCUUUUGCUCUUUGCAAUAAAUCAUGCUGCUGCUCACUCUUUGGGUCCACAACACCUUUAUGAGCUGUAACACUCACCACAAAGGUCUGCAGCUUCACUCCUGAAGCCAUAGAGACCAUGAACCCACCGGGGAGGACCAGACAACUCCAGACGCACUGCCUUUAAGAGCUGUAACACUCACGGCGAAGGUCUGCAGCUUCACUCCUGAAGUCAGUGAGACCAGGAACCCACCCAGAGGAACGAACAACUCCAGACGCGCCGCCUUUAUGAACUGUAACACUCACUGCGAAGGUCUGCAGCUUCACUCCUGAAGUCCGCAAGACCACGAACCCACCAAAAGGAAAAAACUCUGGACAUGUUCGAACAUCAGAAGGAACAAACUCCGGACACACCAUCUUUAAGAACUGUAACACUCACCACCAGGGUCCGCGGCUUCAUUCUUGAAGUCAGCAAGACCAAGAACCCACCAAUUCCGGACCCAGUGGUUCCAUGGAGUGUGGAGGUUCAGCAAGACUCAAAGUGAGAACGUCACCAACAAACUGAGUAUGUCACCAACAAACUAAAUUCUUUCCCAAGUUGAUGUCGGUCUCAAAGAAAGAAUAUCCAAUUGGAAAAGGCCGUCAGGUUUCAUUCACUGGCCAGAGAAUGAAGAACGUGAUCUCUUGCUCUAAAUGCACCUUCUCCCUAAACAAUAGAAGGCGUGGGGUUGUGAAGGACUGGGUACAGGGAGGGAGAGGCAUUGUUAGCAUGUGGAGGGUGGGACUCCAGACACCCAAGCUCAAAUUUAUAAAAAUUUCUUCAUAUAUCACAUGUACACAAAAUGGUAGAGAUUUUCUU